rnacentral:rRNA from 1 species
AAUGAACGUUGGCGGCGUGGAUUAGGCAUGCGAGUCGUACGAGAACCCGCAAGGGGGAAAGUGGCGAACGGGGUAGUAAUGCGUAGGUGGCGUGCCCUAUGGUCGGGGAUAGCUUAGGGAAACUUAAGGUAAUACUCGAUAAUCCCGGGAGGUUUGAAGACCAUCCGGGCAAAGGUGUGAUUCCAUCAUAGGAGCGGCUUGCGUGGUAUUAGCUAGUUGGUGAGGUAACGGCUCACCAAGGCUGCGAUGCCUAGGGGAUGUUAGCGCAUGAUCCCCACCGCUGGGACUGAGAUACUGCCCAGACACCUACGGGUGGCUGCAGUCGAGAAUCUUCGGCAAUGGGCGAAAGCCUGACCGAGCGACGCCGCGUGUGGGAUGAAGGCCCUCGGGUUGUAAACUACUGUUGCGCACUAGGAAAAGUGUGAGGUUAAUAGCCUUGCACCUGACCAAUGCGUGAGGAAGCACUGGCUAACUCCGUGCCAGCAGCCGCGGUAAAGUCG